AUGAUAAGUGCCAGCAGAACCGCAGCAGCCCAUCUCAUGGGUGCUGCAGCCUCCCGGGGCCCCACAGCUGCCUGCCACCAGAAUGGCUGGAAUGGCUUUAGUCAUGAGGCUUUUAGAUUUGUUUCUAGGAGGGAUUAUGCAUCAGAAACAAUCAAGGGUGCAGUGGUUGGGCAGUACUAACUCCUGUGUGGCAGUCAUGGAGGGCAAACUAGCAAAGGUGCUGGAGAAUGCUGAAGGGGCCAGAACCACCCCUUCCGUUGUUGGCUUUACCGCAGAUGGUGAACGUCUUGUUGGCAUGCCAGCAAAGCGACAAGCUGUCAUCAACCCAAACAAUACUAUCUAUGCCACCAAACCUCUCAUUGGCUGAAGAUAUGAUGACCUUGAAGUACAGAAAGACCUGAAGAAUGUUCCUUUUAAAAUUGUCUGGGCCUCUAAUGGUGAUGCCUGGGUUGAGGCUCAUGGAAAAUUCUAUUCUCCGAGCCAAAUUGGAGCAUUUGUGUUAUGAAGAUGAAAGAAACUGCAGAAAAUUAUUUGGGACAUGCAGCAAAAAAUGCUAUGAUUACCGUCCCUGCUUAUUUCAAUGAUUCACAGAGACAGGCCACUAAGGAUGCUGGCCAGAUAUCAGGACUAAAUGUGCUUUGGGUGAUUAAUGAAGCCACAGCUGCUGCUCUGGCCUGUGGUCUAGACAAAUCUGAAGACAAAGCCAUUGCUGUGUAUGAUUUAGGUGGUGGAAUUUUUGAUAUUUCUGUCCUGGAAAUUCAGAAAGGCGUAUCUAAGGUGAAAUCCACCAAUGGGAAUACUUUCUUAGGUGGUGAAGACUUUGAUCACAUUGUAAAGGAAUUCAAGAAAGAGACAGUGGUUGAUUUUACCAAAGACAACACAGCACUUCAGAGGGUACAGAAAGCCACUGAGGAGCUAAGCGUGAACUCUCUUCAUCUAUGCAGACUGACAUUAACUUGCCCUAUCUGACUAUGGAUGCUUCUGGACCUAAGCAUUUGAAUAUGAAGCUGACAUGGGCUCAAUUUGAGGGAAUCGUCACUGAUCUUAUCAAGAGGACUAUUGCUCCUUGCCAGAAAGCUAUAAAGGGUGCAGAAGUCACCAAGAGUGAUAUAGGAGAAGUGAUCCUUAUUGGUGACAUGACUAGGAUGCCUAAGGUUCAGCAGACUGCAAGAUCUUUUUGGCUGAGCCCCAAGUAAAGCUGUUAAUCCUGAUGAGGCUGUGGCCAUUGGAGGUGCCAUUCAGGGAGGUUUGUUAGCUGGUGAAGUCACAGAUGUGCUACUCCCCUGUCUCUGGGUAUUGCGACUCUAGGAGGUGUGUUUAUCAAAGUGAUUAACAGGAAUACCACACCAGGUAUUUUCAACUGCUGCUGAUGGACAGACUCAAGUAAAGAUUAAAGUAUGUCAGGGUAAGAGAGAGAUGGCUGGAGAUAACAAGCUUCUUGGUCAGUUUACUUUGAUUGGAAUUCCUCCAGCCCCUCCUGGAGUCCCUCAGAUUGAAGUUACAUUUGACAUUGAUGGCAACGGAAUUGUACGGGAGCAGCAGGUUGUAAUCCAGUCUUCUGGUGGGUUAAGAAAAUAUGAUACUGAAAAUAUGUUUAAAAAUUCAGAGAAGUAUGCGGAGGAAGACUGUCAAAAGAAGGAACGAGUUGAAGCAGUUAACAUGGUUGAAGGAAUUAUUCAUGACACAGAAACUAAGAUGGAAGAAUUCAAAGACCAACUGCCUGCUGAUGAGUGCAACUAGCUAAAAGAAAUAUCCAAAAUGAGGGAGCUCUUGGCUCGAAAAGGAAACCGGAGAAAACAUUAGGCAGGUAGGAUCUUCCCUUCACUGAAGCUCUUUGAAAUGGCAUACAAAAAGAUGGUAUCUGAACAAGACAGCUCUGGAAGUUCUGGCACUGGGGAACAAAAAGAAGAUCAAAAGGAGGAGAAACAGUAA